rnacentral:lncRNA from 1 species
CUUUUAGAUUAUGAACAAUAGGCCAUAUCUGAGAGGUUCAGAAGACCUCUCUUUGGUACCUUUAAGACUAUCUUCAAUCUGAAUUAGAAUGGAUGAAUCCCCAAGUGUAGGGACAAAAAGCCUAAAUUCUAAUUCUGAUUGCCAUUAACAAGCUACUAAUUUGGUCCAAAUUAUUUUUCUACUUCUCAUUUUUAUCAAUAACAAUGAAGAUGGUUGACUAAAUGAUUGUUUAAAGGUCCUUCCAGAUAAAAAAUUCUAUGACUUUAUGGCUCUAAAAUGUCAUUUUCUUCCUGCUCAAUUCUUAAUUAACUGUAAUUUGGUAAGAACUUCCCUCAUAUGGUCCCUUUUCCCCAUCCCAGGGAAUGUCCUCUGCAAGUUCAGCAAGCAAAUUGCACAAUUAAAAAGAUGUCAUCCAAGGAUGUGGCGUCUCUGCUAAUGGACUGAUUCAUUGCUGGCUGAGUCAACCAAAUCACUCAUCACCUAACUUGGUACUGCUGUUACCAGCUUUCAGUGCUGAAGAGAGAGAGCUUCCAUGGCUCUUCCAAGCCUCUUUUGAGAGCUCACAAGAUUGUCAUCUAGUCUGUUCCAUCUCAGGGAUUUAAGCAUGUUCAUGCUUAAAGCCUUAAACCAAAGGUUAAAGGUGGAAAGGAAGAACAAGAUAGAAAAACUGUCGUGCCAAAGGGAUCAACAAUUAGUGGACUAGGUUGCUCAUAUUGGUGAUCAAUUAAGAUGUGGGGUAGGCCAAGAAUACAAGGAAAUCAGGAAAUCAGAAACUCAUUAGAAGCAGAAAACUGGAACAAAGUGUCUGACUGAUUGUGUGUAUUUGUGUGUAUUUAUGGAAGACCUCAGAAUAUUAGACCAAAUGUUAUAAAAUUAAGGGAAUUAAAUAUCACUCUUCCUCACAGGAAGCCUCCCUAGUCUUAGAGCUGCAG